ensembl:lncRNA
GAUUAAGGUGAGCUGGGAAAUAUUGCGAAUAAUCCCGUUGCUGUAAUAGACGACGUCUUUCAGUGUGGAAGACUAGCUGCUUGUUCUUCCCAGUGAGCACAAGACGUAAUUUUAACGUUGAAAUAUGGUUGAAAUUGGGUUGAAAUGAGGUCUGAACGUCUAAGACCUCGUUUCAACGUCUUUUCAACCGGGAUGAAACAUCAACGUGCCAGAAAACGUCAAUUUGUUGAUAAAUGUGUCAUGUUGUAACGUAAGGUUGAAAGAUAGACGAUAUUAACGUUAAUAUUUUCAUAAUAAUCUGUAACGCGCAUGCACGCGCAUGCACGACAGCGGAGCUCCGACCGGGUGAAGCACGAGGCGAAGUUACGGCAGCAGAGCGACAUGAACGGGCUGAUAGAACCACAACUACCGGCUCCAAUACUCUGUAAGUACGCGAGUGUUUGAAUGAAGCACACCUGGAACUAUAACCGGGUGUUUUACUUCUGCUGCCCACCCGAUACGGGAAAAACGGUCCUUUUUGUUAAGCUUAGCGGUAGCGGUAAGUAGCACUUAUUUUCUCAUUUGGUAAUUUCCUAAUUUAUGUGAUCAUUGUGGCCUUGGUUGCGUAUGCCAGUGCAGCUUUCUUUGGUUAAAAAAAUGUAACCGCGCCCCCUUUUACAUUGUUUAUUUUGAGCUGUUAAAAAUGUGUGAUAUGUCAGUUCUGCCCUUUUCAACUUAGAAAUGUGUAUAUUUCUGUGGCGCUUUAGUAAUGGGCACUGAGUAAUGAGAAAUAUUUAAGAGUGGUGUCAGUUUUUAUUUGUGAGAAUCAAGGUGUUAAAGAUAAAUGGUUAUUCUUGGUAUCCUCUGUAUUUUGGGUCUAGAGAAACUUUAUAAUGAAAAACAUUUAAGAAUUUACUGUAAAAAAUAUAGUGUGCUUUCCUGUAUAUUAUUAAGCAGCCGUCUUAUUUUUUAUCAACUACAAUACAUCGGUGGGAAAACAUUUCUCAUGAUAUCGGUCAUAUUGAAUAACUAUCCAAGUAUCCAAGUCCAUGAGCCCAAAACUCCUUUCUUAAAAACAAUUAACCUUUUCUGCUUUUGGUAGUUGAAACAAAGCCACAUAUUACA